rnacentral:rRNA from 1 species
AUUGAACGCUGGCGGCAGGCCUAACACAUGCAAGUCGAGCGAACGGCGGACGGGUGAGCAGUUUAUGGGGAUCUGCCCGAUAGAGCGGGAUAACUACUGGAAACGUUGGAUAAUAUCGCAUACUAUCGGUUGAUCCCAUCUGGGAUUAGCUCGUAGGGGAGGUAACGGCUCACCUAGGCGACGAUCCCUAGCUGGUCUGAGAGGAUGAUCAGCCACACUGGGACUGAGACACGGCCCAGACUCCUACGGGAGGCAGCAGUGGGGAAUAUUGCACAAUGGACGCAAGCCUGAUGCAGCAAUGCCGCGUGUAUGAAGAAGGCCUUCGGGUUGUAAAGUACUUUCGGUCGGGAGGCGUUACCGACAGAAGAAGCACCGGCUAACUCCGUGCCAGCAGCCGCGGUAAUUC